rnacentral:rRNA from 1 species
UACGUAGGUGGCGAGCGUUGUCCGGAUUUACUGGGCGUAAAGAGCGCGCAGGCGGUCGUACAAGUCGCGUGUGAAAGCCCCCGGCUCAACUGGGGAGGGUCACGCGAUACUGUUCGACUCGAAGGCAGGAGAGGGAAGCGGAAUUCCCGGUGUAGUGGUGAAAUGCGUAGAUAUCGGGAGGAACACCAGUGGCGAAGGCGGCCCCCUGGCUCGUACCUGACGCUCAGCCACGAAAGCAUGGGGAGCGAACGGG